rnacentral:tmRNA from 1 species
GGGGGCGUACAUGGUUUCGACGGGGAUCGCGGGGGCAGUAUAAGCGAGCCGAAGCCCCGAGCUUCGUUAAAAGCGGGACAGAAUAAUAACUGGCGAAAAUAAUACUUUACCCGUUGCCGCUUAAUUGACGGCAACCGUUCGCCCGCCGUUGCCCACGACGGCGGUUGCGGGCGUCAUUAAUGUGGGGAACCAGCCUGCGAAAGCUUUGACGCAGGUGGGAUUCAUGAAGCUACUGAAAGCGCGACCCUGACGGCAGGGGCGCGACGGAGGGAAUUUUAAAUUACCGUCUACGCUCGUAGAAAGUGCUGCUGAUGGAUUUUCGGACAGGGGUUCAACUCCCCUCGCCUCCACCA